rnacentral:rRNA from 1 species
GGUUAAGCGAAUAAGCGUACACGGUGGAUGCCUAGGCAAUCAGAGGCGAUGAAGGACGUGCUAAUCUGCGAAAAGCGUCGGUAAGGUGAUAUGAACCGUUAUACCCGACGAUAUCCGAAUGGGGAAACCCAGUAUCCAAUGGAUACUAUCAUUAACUGAAUCCAUAGGUUAAUGAGGCGAACCGGGAGAACUGAAACAUCUCAGUACCCCGAGGAAAAGAAAUCAACCGAGAUUCCCCUAGUAGCGGCGAGCGAACGGGGAGCAGCCCAGAGUCUUAAUCAAUAACAGUGUCAGGAGAACGGUCUGGAAAGUCCGGCAGUAAAGGGUGAUAGCCCCGUAUCUGAAGAUGCUGUUGUUGUGAACUCGACGAGUAGGGCGGGACACGUGUUAUCCUGUCUGAAUAUGGGGGGACCAUCCUCCAAGGCUAAAUACUCCUGAUUGACCGAUAGUGAACCAGUACCGUGAGGGAAAGGCGAAAAGAACCCCGGCGAGGGGAGUGAAAAAGAACCUGAAACCGUGUACGUACAAGCAGUAGGAGCCCCAUCACUCAAGUGCCUCGCACUGAGUGAUGCAAGAACAUCACCGAAAAUAGCGCCGAAUUUGCUAACAAGGUUGGUCGAUUUUUUCAAGCCGUCGCGCAGUGUACCUAGAAGUACACGAGCAACGGAAGUUAAAAAAUCGGGCAAGAUUGAACGCAAAGGCAAGCGGGACAUUUGAGGAUGGGGUGACUGCGUACCUUUUGUAUAAUGGGUCAGCGACUUAUAUUCUGUAGCAAGGUUAACCGCAUAGGGGAGCCGUAGGGAAACCGAGUCUUAACUGGGCGAAUGAGUUGCAGGGUAUAGACCCGAAACCCGGUGAUCUA